UCUGCAAAUCCUACUUAUUCUGUGGUCAACUGCUUCAGACAUUUUUAUUUCCGUUUAUUUAUAUAUUUAUUUGUUUUAUAUGCUACUAACCUAGUUGUCUCUGUCUGAUGACAUUUAGAUCCUUGUAAACACAUGCAAAAAAAAUAGCUUUCCAGAUGGAUUAGUAAUUUGUGGCACAAGGAUUAGCAAAAGUUAUUCUGCUUUGACAGUUUUCAGCUUUAAAAGUCUCAUUCAAAUGCCUUGUUGGAGUUCAUGUGAGGAGCAUGAGGAUUAUUAUCAGUUCUUUAUCCUCCCUUACAGCUGAACUAUGUAGCAGCUUCUUUCCAUUUAUAAAUGAUGGCAAAAGGUUAAGACUGUCUUUUCAAUAGGUGUGUUAUGAUUUGUUUGUUUUUCUAACCUCUCUGUGUUUAAGCUUUCAGUGCAUUCAGUGCUACUACUUACAUAUUCUGAUUUCACAGCUGAUGUCUCUAUCAAGAUAUCCAUGUAGAUUAAACUUGUGUUGUGAAAUAUAAUUUCAAACCUCUUUUCACUGAAUCUUUAGCAGACUCUAAGUACAUCAAGUCAAAACAAUUCAUGUUCAUUUAUGUAAAGACAGCAUUGUGCAUGUGCAAUGCUUGAUGCUAAAUAAGAUUGGAUCAGCAGUUUCAAGAUACAUGUCCUUUUUCAAGGGAACCAUAUGUAACAGAUGGAGUCUAUUAGUAAAUUGAAUGGAGCACGCAAUGAAAGGUAAUGGCAUUAAGAUACAGUCCACAAAACUGUAUUUUAAAAAUACCAUAUGUAUUUUAAAAGAUUGUAUGGGACUUUUUUGUGUAUGUGUGAGCAAAGUGAUUGCAGCAUGUGUAGUGGUCUGAAAAGAGCUUGGUAUGGUUGAACUUCUUUUUAGUGAUCUAGAAAGCAUUUAAGAAUAUGAUUUUAACUCGGGUCUAGUUUUCAUUCACUUAAUGUAAUUUAAAGAUAUUUCAGAAUCUCUUUCUGGAUUGCACUUGUGACACUGCUGUCUCAUUUACAUUCAUGUAGUAAGCAAAAUAAGUCUUUACCAUUAAAGUUUACCCCUUCUCUAGACUGAAACACACAAACAUCAAAUGUGAUGGACUUUGCUCUUCUGAGAAGGAAUAAAAUCUUUGGUUUUUUUUUUGCAGUUGGUUAUAUCACUUAUAGCAUUUGAUUUGGAAUUUUAUACUUGCAGCCUUUAAAAAUCAGCCUUUUAUGCUGAUAGUGUGUAAAAGAAUUUUGUGCUCAUACAACUGUAUUUAGGUUUGGAGAGAUUCUUGUAUUUGUUGCACUUGGUAUGAAACACAGUAUUCAUUAUAGCAUUGAAAAGGAGGAUGCUUAAUUUCCCAUAGCCAUUAGGAUGCUUAUAGGAAAGCUCCUCUGUGGCUCUAUCUCUUAGCUCAGUUGUAGCAUUACAGCAGUAAAGUGGAUUUAAAACAGGAUACUGUGUUUAGCUGGCCUGCCUUUCAUUGCAGUAAUAAAGGUCAUUAAAGAAUGUGGAUAGAAGUAGUGCUUGAACUGCACUUUGAAAGAAUUUCAUGCUGCUCUAGAAAGUUAUUACUCUUUAUAUGUGUCACUCUGUCCAGGUAAAAAUCUGAAUAAUCUUUAUAAAUUGCUUCAGAGAAAAUGGUAGUAGGUAGGUAGAGUAAAUAAGACUGAAAGUGACUUUUGAGUCAUUUUAUGCAGAUACUCAAGUCAUAAUCACUGAUUAAUCUCAAUAAUCUCCAUGCUGAAAGUAGCUUAUUUUGUUGGCCUGCUGGUUCUGUUGGACACUUCUUUCACUAGUGCUUUCUUGUGAUGGUUAGAAAGACUCUAAAUCCAUGUCAGGAAGCAUAAAUUGUAUUCACUGCUCAUGUCCGCUGUCCUUUUUUUAAAAAAAAAAUUAUUUUAAAGUUAAUGUCUUCCUCAGCCCUGCUGUAGUUGUUAUGAUAUACCUAAAGAAUGUGGUCUCCUCAUAAGCUUCAUAUCAUAAAACAUGCACAUUCCUGUUCGUUUUAGCUUUCUCAUAUAAGACCAUUCUGUUAUUUUAUGUUAAAAGAAAUGCAGAAUUAGCAAAUGCUAGUUUCUGCAGAUGCUGUAGUUUAUCAUUCUUCUUUAGGAGCAACAAGUACCACAGACCAUGCUCUAAAUUCUCUGUUGCAUUAUGGCAUUUACCCUGCCCUUUGUCAUCAAUGCGGUCCAAGAGCCACCUUUAUGUUUUUACACACCUGCAUAACUUCUUCAGAUACUAGCCUUUCCUGGAACAUUAUAGUGAGUUUUCCCUUCCUCACCCAUCUUCCAGCAGUGGGAUUUAGCUCUUGGUGGAAAUCUUUUUGCAUAUUCAAAGGACGCACGACUUAAUAUUUUAUAACACUCUUCAGAUAAAUCUGCAUUCUUAAUUUAACUACAGACCUCAAAAUUCUCCAGCUCUUCCUAUUUUUUUUUGUCUGUACAGUGCUUUCAGGUCUUGUUUCAUUCAAAAUUUAUUCACACAGAAAUGCUUACAAAUACUAAUGAUAACAAAGACUUACGUUGCAAUCAUUCUCUAUGCUGAGCAUUAGCUAUUCUUUUACAUUUUUUUACACAUUAUUUAUCAGUCUUUACUAAUUGUCUUCUGGCAGAUAGCCGCAUAUCAAACAUUUUUAUAAAGUACAGGUUAAUUGUACUUUGAUUGGAAAUGCAGAAAGGAUCUGGCUAGAAAGAUCUAGCUUAAAACCCUUUGGAGUUUAGCCAUGAUAGAUUUUUAUAUCAUUUCCAUGCUUAUUAUUGUGUCUAAUGCCCUUCCAUUCUUUCCCUUCUUCCUUUAUCUCUACUCCUAUUAUUGAUGCCAGUUGUCUAGCUUCUUUUUAGAUGCCUGGAUUCUUUUUUUCUUUGUGUAAUUGUAGUUACUGAAAUAUGGGGACAGUAUCAAUUUUUGUUAAUGUAGAUUUCCAUAGAUCUAGACUAAUUCUCAAGUUAGGAAUUAUGGUAGAACAGGGUUUUAUGUUAAAGCAAAAACCUAAAAUGGGAGAGGCUGUAUAAUCUGUUAAGGUACAAGAGAUGUUACUUUACCUGCUUUACUACUGGGACUAGAUGUUGAAAAUGUAAGACAGGAUAUUUUUGUUGGUUCAGAGAAUAUCAGUUUUGAGAGCUUUUUUUUUUUUUUUCUUCAAAUAGGUAGCUUGUUUCUCUGUGAUCAUUUUUUGAUUUGCUCAGAUGUAAAGGGGGCCAAAAUAUGUAGAAUGCUUGGUUUUCCUUGGUUUUACACUUCCAAACUUUUACAGUGUCUUUUCUAUAAUGGUGUAAUCUAUCCACCCUGCAUUUCUUUUCUUAUUUCCCAACACACUAAGUUGCAGGGUUAUAAUACCAGAAGGAAAUCAGUUUUUCUCUGCAUUCAUUUCAUAGAUUCCCAACUUGGAGACCGCAGAGAUCUUGUUCUUUUUUGCUUGUGUAUUGACUUUACUCAGUCAAAUACUCUCCUUUUUGCUUCCUAUUUCAGCCAUUGUAGUUUGAAGGUUUGUAGAAUUUCUGAUGAUGCUCUUGAAAAAUUUUCUCUAUCUGCUGCUUUGCUGAAGGAAAAAGCAAUUCCUUAGCAAAUCAGUUAAAAGACUAAAGGGAGCUAAAAAGCAAAAAGUAGUAUUAGGAAGUUGGCAGAACAUUGCCUUGUAUUCAUAAAUGUAAAUAAAAUAUCAUGUUGCACAUUCUCUAGCAUUACAGAGAGAAAUGAUUGUGAUUUGAAUGUUUUCAAAUGUAAUUAUUUUAGAUUCAUCUGGUAAAUUUGGACUUCUGUCAGUUUUAAUUACAUAGUGACAUACAGCGAUGUUAAAGUUUACUUCAAUUUUUUUCUCUCAUUUCAUAAUGUCUUUGGCACAGCUAUAUUUAUGUUAUAUUGGAGUAUAAUUCAGAAUACGCCUGCUGUGUGGCAAUGAUAUUUUACGUUUCUUUAUUGCUUCUGAAUAAACAAGAACACACUGAGUUUCUUUUCAGAAAUCUAUACUCAGAAGCAUUUUCCACUGUGUGCUGAAGUUUUGCCAUUGAAAGAAACAUAUUCUACUGUCUAAAGCCAAAGCAAAUGGGGCACUUGAAACCGGGAAAGUUGGCAGCAUUAGAACAGCAUGUACAGCAGGGGAGGAAGGACUGCUUUGGUGAUGAAUGGAGAAUGAUUGUUUUGGAGACAUUUACUUAACAGCCAGGGAUGUUUUGAUCAGAAAUACCUUACAGAUCACAUUUAUUUAUUUUUUUUCAGUAUGAUGGCAGAAAUGCCACAGAAGCACACUAAAUAAGAUUGGUUAAAAACUUCAAUUGGGUAACAAUCUAGAAACAGGCAGGAAGAACCACAGUGGAAGAAUAUCAUUCCUCCCAGUGGCUGGAUAGCCCGGUAUCAAACACUUUCUAAUCAGACUCUCUGAAUGCUCAUCUCAAAAAAGAAAACAACAACAAAACCAUUCAUUUUUGUGCGCUGAAGGUGACUUUAUAAGUACGUUCAAAGCACUGAAAAGAAAUUGAAAACUUCUUGUUCAACUACUUUGGAGGUGGCUGAUCUGGCCAUCAGUCAAAGCUAUAAUCAGGUCACAUGGGACAAAGGGUACAACCCCAGGAGCCGACCGGGGUUUUGGGUUAGAGGUGGAUGUGCCUGAUGCUGAGCAAGAGGCUCUGCUGUUCCUGAGGGAACAGGAUGUUUAGUAGGGGAGGCUACCAAGAGAGUAUAUCACUUUGAAUAUUUACAUUGCAAGUAGAAAGCUGAAUGUAUGAUGAAUAUCAUUGAAUGGCCACUGAAUAUCAGAAUCUAAAUAGUUGUUCAUUUAUUACUCUUUUCAUUUAUCAAACCUAGCAUGUCCCCUUUGUCCCUUCAGUUAAGUAAUUUUUUGCAUAGCAGGCAUUGUACAGGAUCACAUGCUUCCGUGAGUAGAAGCUGACCUCAUUAUCAAAGUGCACCUUUUUUCCUUCUUGAUUAUCAUUUACAUGUUGAGAUGUCUUAAUGUCGUAAUUUGGAUUGUAAUGUGAAUUCCUUGGGAAAGGUACUACAGACUGUAUUUGUCCACAGUAAUUUCAUUUCAAGAUAUCAAGGAGAGAAUAAAAGAGGUUUAAUUUUAAUGGUGUGAUGCAUACUGGCAAUGAUAAGGUAAUCUGUGACUUCAUUGUGUAGCUGGAGUGAUUCAGUAAGGGCUAAAAAAAGUACCAACAAAACUAGCACAUGAUUCUUCUAAAUAGUAUGAAGAGGGUAAGAAAAUUUAGACUAACAAUCAGUGUAUAUGACUGGGGCAGGUUCUAUGCAAGUGAACCACUUUUUGCAGUGUUUUGAUAACUGAGUGUGAAUAACAACCACUGGGGACUUUGGUCAGGCUUUUCAGACAGGAAUUAAAGUAACAUCACAGGUGUAUUUUUCCUGUUACAUUAUGGUUAUUCCAUAAGGAAGUACUGUAUCUUAUUUUCUUUAUUUCUAAGUACAUCCUUACAGCAGUCUACAUCUUGGAAGCUCUCAUAACAAAAAUGAAAGGCUGUACAGUUUCUAAAUGAGCAAAGAAUGAUACAGAAAUUCUGUACCAGCUUCUUAAUGCUCUGAAGCAGUCUGGAGUCAAAUUAGAAAAGCAAUCUAAUAUCCAACCUAUGCUUAUCAGCAAGGACAAUAUAGGCAAUGUAAUUUUCCAUGAAGAAAUUCAUAGCUUGAAGUUCAUUUUUAUAUCAUUCCACAGAUAAAUGUAGAAAAUAUAUAGAAUCACAAAAAUUAAGAGACAAAAUGCAAAUGGUUCCAAAACUUCUAAAGCAUUUUGCCUUUCCUAACUAGUCUGAGCUGUGGUAUAUUUUUCCUAUUGCACUUAAAAGUGUGUUUUAUCAAGGGAUUCUGGAAAUGAAAAGGACCCAUUUUCAGAAAACCCAAUUUCAUUUGCUAAAGGAUCUUGAAAAUGUCUAAAUGUCUAUGAAACCAUUCUGUAGAAUGUCAUUCUAGCAUCUUCUCUGAUAAUCCUGUAUACAAUAAAUAAUCUAGAAGAAUGCAGAGAUGAUGGAUGUGACACUUUACAGCCCUGUUUCCAGAAGUUAUGAAUUUUUCAAGGUAAAUGUUUGCUUUUUUUCUCAAGUGAGUAGUAGGAUCUCUGUUAUACCUUCACAUAUUUCAGAUAGAUAUUUUUUUAUUAACUGGCAAUUUGUUUGAAGUAAGCAAGUAUGAAAAAAAGCUGUGUUAGAAGUACUUCAUAGCUGGUCAUGAUGUGUAUCAAAAUUAAAUGCAAAGACUGUUUUUAUUACUGGAAAUUUCAUAAAAAAAUGUUUUGUAAACGUAUAUAUUUAUCAAGGGAUGAAUAUCUUAGUAGUUGAGAGAAUCAUGAAAAAUGUAGUUUCAAUCAUUUAUGUUUUGUUUAUCAAAGGAUGGGUUACUUGCUGGGAUUUUUUUUAGUUUGCUUCUUUAGGCUCAUAAUUUAGGUCUGUUGUUUUGAAUGUCAUUUUUAAUAGGGGAAAAGAGAAGUUAUUAACAAGGUUAUUAGUAUAUGCUUGUAUUUAAAGAUAUAUUUCUGGAAUUAUUCAAGAUGGAAUGGGCAAAAGGGGUCUCUAUCUUCUGCUCAAGACAGGGUCAAGUUUGAGAUCAGACUAUGUUUCUCAGUAUUCUGUUCAGUCUAGUCUUGAAAAUCUUGGAAGAUGGAGAAUGCAAAACCUCUCUAUGCAACCUGUUCCAGUGUCUGACCUUUUUAAAAGUGAAGAUGUUAAAUUGCAACUGUAGUAAGUGACAACCACUAGAUGAGGCUGCCCAGGAUCCCAUCCAACCUGGCCUUGAGUGCCUCCAGUGAUUGGUCAUCUACAACCUCUCUGAGGAGCCUGUUCCAGCAUCUCACCACCCUCUGAGAAAAUUUCUUCUUAACACAUAACUUAAAUCUCCUCUCUUUCAGUUUAAAGCCAUUCCCCCUUGUCCUAUCACUAUCAGACUGUAAAGAAUUGGUUCUCUUCCUGCUGGUACUUUAAGUACUGGGAGACCCCACUGAGGUCUCCACAGAGCUUUCUCUUCUCCAAGCUAAACAAGCUCACCUCCCUCAACCUAUAGGACAGGUGCUGUCGCCAUGUGAUUAUCUUCAUUAUGCUGCUCCAGACCUGCUCCAACAGCUCCACAUCAUUCUUGUGCUGGGAGCCCCAGUCCUGGAUGCAGUACUCCAGAUGGAGCCUCACGAAGGCAGAGUGGGGGGGGAGGGUCAGUCCCUUCUCUCACCCUGCUGACACCCCUCUGUUAAUGCAGACCAGGAUACUGUUGACCUUCCGGGCUGCAAGCACACACUGCUGGCUCAUGUCCUGCAAAUCCAUCUCUGCAGGGCUGUUCUCAAGGAGUUUUUUUUCCUCUCAGUCUGUAUUCGUAUCUGGGAUUGUGUCAAUCCAUGUGUAACAUCUUGCACUUAGUUCUGUUAAAACUCAUUAGACUCUCGUGUGUCACUUUUUGAGCAUGUCCAGAUCCCUCUGGGUGGCAUCUCUCCCUUCCACUGUGUCAACUCCACCACUCAGCUUAGUGUCAUCAGCAAACUUCUGAGGGUAGACUUAAACCCACCAAUUAUGUCAUUGGUAAAGGUGCUGAAGAGUGCUGGUUUUAGGACAGACCACUGUCUGUGUUCAUAACUGGUCUUUAUCUGCACGCAGAACUGUUGACAACAAUUCCAUGGCUAAAACCAUCCAACAAAUUCCUUAUCCACUGAAGAGUUCACCCCAUCAAUUUGUAUUUUUCCAAUGUAGAGAUGAGGAUGUGGUGCAGGACAUUGUAAUGGUAAAGGCAUUGCACAAGUCCAGGUAGAUGACAUCAGUUCCUCUUCCUUCGUCCAUCAGUGCCAUACUCCAUCAUAGAAGACCAACAGAUUGGUCAGGCACAGUCUGCCCUUGGUGAAACUAUACUGGCUGUCUUGGGUCAUCUCCUCAUCUUGCAUAUACUUUAUCAUCUCUUCCAGGAGGAUCCACUCCAUGAUCUUCCCAGACACAAAGGUGAGACUCACCGCCCUGUGUCUUCCUUUCUCCCUUUCUUUAAUGUGGGAAUAUCUGAAUCUUAUUAUGAUUUAAAAGCUCUCGAAAUAAGGAUUCUUUUACUCUGGAAUAACGAGAAAUUUCAGGAGAACAUCUGACUGGGUAAAAAGUUUCUAUUUGUAUGUACAUUUAAAAGGCAAUUUUUUGUGUUUUGCAGCUGCACAAUGUAUAAAUCAUCUUUAUUGUGCAUGGAGUACAGGUAUGGAUAGUCUGUUCUGCAGGAAUGUAUUGCAAAUAAAUUUAUAGCUUAAAAUUUAUGGUAUGUCAUAUAUUCUUCAGCAGCAGAACAAUUGGCUACCUGUAUUCAAUAUCAUAUGAUUUUGGCUCAUCUUGUUUGGUUGAUGUAACAAGAAUUUGAGAAAUUGUGAGCCUAGGCAAAAAUCUUAUAUGGUAGCUUAUAGGGCAACUUAGCAGGAAAAACAAAAAGAAAGAAACAAGGAAUUGAUGCAAGUCAUUUUUAAGACACAAAAAUAUACCUUUUCACUUUAACGCUGUGUGUGAACGUACUGUGCUCUGGAUAAGAUUACACAAUAUUGCAAAUAUCUUUCAGUAGUAAUCUGCAGUUGUCAUGAGUGGAAUUAAAUACCUUGCUGCAUCCGUUGUAUGUUAUUGAAGGAUGAUUAUCCAAGGAUCUGAUGGUUUCUGAAUAACCCAUUGAAAUUAUUUCCUGGUAAAAUCAUGGAUCUUAUUCUUUUCUCUGAAGUGGUUAAAUGAUAGCGCGUAUUAGAAAUGUAUAUUUAUUCAAUAGCAGGCACAGCUUAUUUCAAGGGAAAGACUUGUGGGCUGCUACAAGAACUAGCUUCAUUAAAGCACAGUAUAUUCACAUAUUUUACUGUACAGAAGCUCAUCUGUACACAUCUGGUGCUCUCCAAGAAAGCAGGAAUUUUCUUCCUCACUGCAGCCUGGAAUGAUCAUGUCUUUUGAACAAGUCACUUCUGGAAGACUGACGUUUAUCAAAAUGUUACAACAGACAACCUGAGAAUGAAAUGCUGAGCCAAAAUGAAUGGAUAUCAUCAAUAAUAUCAGUAAGUAAGUCAGAAUGGUCCUAGGGAUGUCAUCAAUGUCAGAAGCCUUCUCAUUCUUCUUAUACAACUAACAGUAUGCGUGCAGCAGAUAAGCAUCAAAGGGAUGGAUAACGCCAUCAGCAUAAUGCUUUUACACUGUUUCAGGAACAACCUUUUGCAAGUCUUAGAGGGACCUACAAUCUUAUUAGUUGUGGAAAGGAUUAAAGAGGGUUUUACAGUUUUCUCUGAGGGCAGAAAAAUGUGCGUCUUGCUGUAUGUCUAAAAUUUUUAUUGUACUCUAAAAUUUGUUACUAUAGCCUUGCAUUUGUACUUUACAAUGGCAUUUCUUGUACUGCUGGUAAUACUAUGGGUAUGGAAAGCUUAGUUUCAUUAUAAAAUUACUUGAUAAAAAUUUUAAUUUCCUUUAAAAAAAAAAAAUAAAGCUCAGAUUUUACUCUAUGUCUGUGUGUUUCACUAUGUGCAUUAAAGAAUUCUGAAUAGUAAAGCAUGGGAAACUUGAGAAGUUAUGUGAGCCUGGGCAAAAAUCUUAUGUUAACAUAACAUGGGAAACCUUUAAGUCUGCUAAGACUGGAAUCCCUGUCAGCUCCAACUCAAAAAUUCCUCUUUUUAUUUUGGAAGAGAGAAGUUGAAUAUUUUACAAAUAUGUGGCAUCUGUGUUGUGCACAUCAUUACCAUUUGUGCUAUGGAGUGAUGCAUUUACUGAGUUUUAGUGAUCUUUCUUCUUUGAAGAUCUACCUUUGUGUAAAUGAGCAGUAUGCUCCUUUUUGCACACAUUGGCAUAUGUACUAGCUCUUAUUUGGCCUUGAGACUGUAUUCAGGGCCACAUUGUUCUGUGGCUUGAUGCCAGUUUGCUUUUCAUCUUAAGGGGAUACCAAGAAUAUGCUUGAUAAAUUAGGUCAUUAUGUCUGAUGUAGAUGGCAUGUCCAUCCUUUUUUACUGAACAUUAAAUUAUAGAUACGUGCAUGUAGCUAUCACUUAAAGAUGGUUUUCAUUGUUUUAAUAGCCAUAUAUGAACAGGCACCUUAACAAUAGUCUCAUUCUUAGAAAAUAUCUUUAAAAUUGAUUGCUUGUUACAAAAGCACAUGUGGGACCAGUAUUAAUCUUGCGUUUUUUACAUCUGGCACAUAACAAAAACAGAUUUGGGUCACAAACUAACUCUGAAUGUGAACUAAAGUUGGAGGCUCUGGAGGGGUCUGGGAAUUACUGGUUUGCAAGGUGGUGUAUUAAGUGAAGGAAUGUUUCAGGCACUGCCUAUGAAAUGUAUAACCAAUUUGGUAUUUUGUCUUAGAAGUGGAUGAAAUCAGCUAUAUAAUACCUUUCCAUGUCAGUUUGUUUAAUGGAAAAAUGUGGUGUUGAGACAAAUGUAUGCUGAGACAAAACAGAGAAGAUCUGGACAUGUGGUGGAGAUAUAUUUUGUCAUGGGCUCCAGGAUAGUGAAAAUGAUCAUAUAAUUCCGCUUUUUUUGAAGUUUGAAAUUGAGAUUAGCAAAAUGUAGCCAUUUUCAUUGUACAGUGGCUCUCUGUAAUCUCGUGGCUCGAUGUCCUUUAGGUGAUUCUAGUUUAGUGUUUCUUCAAACCCAGUUUCAAACAGGACAGAAUUUCUGUGUGUUAGUCUCUGAUUUAUUGUCUUUAUUAUGAAGUGAUAUUAAUGAUAUAUUUAAGUAAGAUUUGAUGCCUGGAGUCAUGCUGAAAUUUCUUUUUUUUGGGGGGGGGUAUGAAAUGUGCUGUUGUCAGAGGAAAGAUCUCUCUUGAGAAGUCAAGAGCAGUUGCUCCUGCUAGAGUAUAAGCCAAUAGCUCCAAAUCAGCUGAGCUAUUCUGACCAUGGAAAAACCAAACAGUAAAGAAUAGAAAAGCGUCAUCUUGAAUUAAUACAGUAGUAUUAAGAUAGAUGUGUUUUGUAUACUGGCAUGAUACCAGGUUAUAUAGAAACUGUGUGAUUUUGUGAAAUGAUUUGCUCCUAUAGGGAAAAUACAGUCCUUUUGAAUGUAGCAUGUUUUCUUUAAAUACAGGGAUUUAGGCAACCUAGAGCAGCUGCUUGUUUAUGUGUUUUGUUUUUCUUUUUUUAAAUCCCCUUUUCCCUUCAGGGAUUUGGAUGAUUGUAGAAAGUAUUUAAGCCAGAAGGUAGAGUAAAGCUCACUGGGGAGACUCCAGCUGGGACUGAAAACACAGCACUGUUGGUUCCACAUGAUCAUGAGUUAACGUUAGGCCACUUGACCAGCCAAAAAUGAGCUCAGUCUGUUAGAAAGGAGAUAAUACCUUCUUUUAAGUGGUGUUCUUAAAGGCCUAUCUUGCAGUUAUGAGAAAUAUAUCUCCAAAUUUUCUAAUUUUCUCAUGAAUAUAGGCUAUUUCAGAAGGUGUCUGACCUUCGAGGAAGUAAGCUCAGCUAUCAGCUCAAGUGCUAUCAUCCCUGGUGAGUAAUUCUCACUGUUUCCAAAGAAAGGAUAAAUGUAAGCCUUCAAUAAUUAUGAAGAUGAUGAGUAGGCAAGCCUCUUAGUUUGAGCUUUCCUUAUCUAAAUUAUUUUUCCAAUCGUGAUAAAAAUAUCAAAGUAUACAUUAAAAAUAUCUGAGCAAAAUAUCAGAAUUGGUUGCACAGAGGAAGAUAAUUAGCAGAUAGCAUGCAUUUCUUCUGACAGAGUCCAAGAAGAAGGGCAGAUUAACUGAUCUGGAGCUCUACAUUCUUUAACCUGGACUAUUUUCAGCCCUUUGUUAAUCAGUAUCUGUGCACUGCAUAGCGACUCUGCAAAAAGGAGAAUCUAACAGUAAUUCAGUGUUGUUUUCUACCGUGUACAUGGGACGUUAAGGUUCUGACUUUACUUGUGAUAGAAAUGCCUCAUACUAGUGUAGUUUUCCAUUCAAUAUGGAUGAAGAUGUGAAUGAUAUAGAGAUGUAGUCCAAUAAGGUCCAAAAGUCAUGAAAAUCUGGGCCAAAUUAACAGUAAUUAAGAACAACCUUUUACUGUGUAUAAAAGAUGUCCCCAUCUAAAGAUGUUAUUGCAACUGAAACAAAUGGUCUGAAAGUACCUUUCACGAGCUGAAUUUUGCUUGUAAUAUGUAUUAUUGCUUGUAUGUGGUGACAACUACAGCCUUUCACAAGUACAGUUCUAUUCCAAACACUUGUAUGAGAAUGGGAAAAUACUGAUAUUUAAAUCAGGGUAUUAAGGUUUUACUCUAGAAGCAUUCUGCUGUAUUCAAUGUGGUAUAGUGUGUAAAUGAUGUUUUUCUUGCACUGUCCAUUCAGAGAGGAAUUUGUGCAAUCUCUUCCAGAUAUUUAACAUUAGAGUCAAAGUUGAACUUUGAACUUCCUGCUGGAGAAAGCACUUCUUGGUGCUGCGUAUCAUCCUCAAAGGCAUACAUCUACACUGGCUAUAUAAGCAGGUUCCCAGCUUCUAGCGUCUGUGCCUAUGUGAAUGAAGUUCUUUCCAGCAUUUCCAAAUACAUCAACAUAACCACAUUUGAAAAUACAGUGUUACAGUUAAGGGGAGAAAAGCAAAAAUAAAUAAUAAUUUAUAAAACUAUUUUGUCUGGUUUUCAGAAUAAAUGUAGCAGUUUGGUCGAACGAAAGUAUAAUUUCAGUUCUCUUUUCCUGUAACCUUCUUUUGGAUGAGGAAAUUGUUAUUUACUGGGUGUCUGCAGCUCAGUUACAUACUGUUGCAUUUCCACUUGUUGAGGCUAGUGUAGAGAGAUCUUGAGUAUAUGUGAAAUUCCUGAGAUACUUGUUUUGCAAGGAUAGAUAUACUGGUUUAUGAAAGCAGGAACAAUGCACUUCCAUAAAUCUUGGUAAUGGUUUAGUUUUCCAGUUGUAGGACAUAGGUUCAUUUCUCAUCCAUUUUCACUAUCCUUAUACACUGCAGAACUUAUCUGAAAACUUGUGGUACUAAAGAGUGGGGGAAAAAAUGUUCUGUUACUCCAAGGCUAUUUUAAGAAAGAAAAGCAGUCCUAUUGGAAUUGAUGCCAUACAUGCCUCAGAGAGUAUUCCCUCUUUUCAACAUGAAUAAAAGCAAGCAUCUCAGAAGACUAGCCCAAUCAGUUUAAGAGUGAGGUAUGAUUGAGAUUGCCAAAAACAAGUAUAAACAGAUAAUUUAUAUAUAAAAUAAAGUAUUAAACCUGUGGUUUUAUCACCUGCUGUGAUACUUCCUUUGUAACAAGCAGGAAUUUUCCUUCAUUUGCCUUUUUGCAUAUAUUUAUGGUUCAUUACUGUAUUUCUAGCACUCAAAAAGUGGUUUUUAGAAUCUUCCUGAAAAUUCUCUGCUUCGGUGCUCUGCAUGUUUCCCUUCCAUUAUUUUGUAACUGUUUUUUUCUCUGGACCCAGGUUUACUUUUUAAAUUCAGUUUUCAUUCUCUUUCUUUUUACAUGGCUGAUGUUAAUUUCUCAAUCUCUUUUACUAAAGAAUCUCUAAAGUUCUAGGUUUAUAACUUCAAACUUACCAAGAAAACCUGUUCUUGAUUAUUUAAUCCCCAACCUACUGCAUACAGAGGAACAGGUGACUUCACCAGCUUUCUCAGGUAUAAGAGAAAACUGGAGUAAUCACAAGCCUCUUCAGGAACAAAAAAUGUCUUGCCACAUAUCUGUAAAACUCCAGCCACUUAAAGCAUCUAGAUUCUUGCAAACUUCUAUGAAGUCCUUAUGGACUCACAGCCAGUGAAUUUGGUAGUAACUCCUACAGUGUCAGGAUGGCUGAAUAGCACUUGCUAUGCUGCUUUUGUCCAUCUAUUGUAAAGCAAGUUAGUUUUCUCAUUUUCCCGUGUUAUUCCUAGACCUGUUUGUUACUUUAAUUCCUUAAGAUCUAUACCGUAAACUUGAAGCGUGUUAAAUAUUUUGUGAAGCAUGUCCACAUCCACAUUUAAUCAAAUCUGAAACAUUUUUUUUGGUGUUUUACUCAUAGGAUUUGCUAUAAAACUUAUUCUAGGCUGUCUGUAUUUCUGACUGUCCUUGUUUUCUAUCACCAUUUUCUUUUGUAGGAAUAAACACACACAUGCAUGCACACACGUGCGCGCACACACACACACACACACAUAUAUAUAUAUAUACACUUUUCUGUAUGUAUCUCUUAAGUGUAUUGGUAAGACACAGUCAACUCAGAAAGGAUACUCCUAGAUUUUUCCUUACUACAUUUAGUGAUAUAUUUUGACUCAACACUGGUGCAAAUAUGAAGAGCUCGGCAGUCUGUGUCUCUACUUUGCAUGUCAUGGGGAAUUCAAGCAAUCUGACUGCUGGUGGUUUCCUGUCGGACUUAUGAUUAUUUGUUUUCUAAAUUCUUAGUUGAAGUGGGAUUGUUCACCUUUUUCCAAGCCGUGUUUAACAAAGCAUGCACCAGAGUAGUUGCAAAGCUGGCAACACAGUGAGACCUUGCACCCUCUUCUGCCAUCUGAGGAGACUUUGAGGCUUCUUCCAGCACAGCGGCACCAUUAGAAGCACAGCCUCCAGAGAAAAAAUCACCUCCUGGCACUCACAGUAAGAGCUGGAAAUGGUGAUGAUUUUAAAUGAGCAGCAGAAUGAUUUGUUCAGCAUUCCUUUUCAUGAGUGGAUCCCAUGUGGUGGUGCCUAGACCACUUCUGAACAGCAGAGUUGUUUGCUGGAGGCAGUAGAUGUCCUAUAUUUUGACAUUAAUAAGGUUGCCGACAUUGACUCAAAUGACUUUCUUAUAAACAAUGUGGGAAAACACAGAUCAGACGGAACCACAUUUGGAAAUAGCACAAAGAACAUGAUUAUGGAGUUUAGUGGAGGGAAACAAUUUUGAAUCAAGUCCAUCUUCAGUGUUUUCAUUAAUGAUCUGAAAAUAAUAAAACAUGCCUAAACCUUUAAGCAGCUUGAAGGAUGGAAUUAGGUUUUAAAGGAUCUCAGCUAGCUGGAGAGGUGGCCUGCAGAUGUGAAAUUCCAAAUUUUACACGUAACAGUCGCACCUCAGAACUGGGAAAGGACUAGCUAGAUGGCAACCCCUUGUUGGAAUGAGGGGUGAACAUAACAACAGAAGGAAAAAAAAAAAAACCCAAAAUGGAUAAAGUAACACUGGGAGGAUACCAUAGAUAGUAGUGAUUCUGUAUAAGCAGAGAUCUCUUACAAACUGUGAAGGUAGUUUUGGUCUGUUUUCUAGUAGAAGGUCUUUUGCACUUUCUACAUGUGAUGACACAGAUUUCCUCCUGAGGUCCAAUGAUAAGUAAGAAUAAGUGUUUAGGUAUUGUGUUGGGCAAAACUGAAGUAUGCAUAAGUCUUCUGGGACUUGUAGAACACAUUGAGGUUUAUAGGAUCAGACUUUGUAAAUUUGUUUUGAGUUUUCCUCUAAAAUAGCCCCGGAAAAUAAAUAUUAUGUCUGAUUUACCUUGUGUAUGUGAUUUCUAUGCUCAGAAAACAGCUUAUGAGGGGAUGAGUACUAUUGAGAUUUUCCUGGUGAAAAAUAAUCAACUGUAAAUAUGAUCUGGCUCCAUUACAUUGUGUGUUUUAUUCAUUAUUUCUUCUGCUUUUGACAGUAAAAUGAAAAGCUCAUUUAGACUUAUGAUAUUAUAAUCCAGGAAAUAUAUACUUGAUGGACAACUUUUGUUUAAUGUCCCCUGGAACUAACAUAGGCAUCACUAGGUUUUGAACAACUUCAGUUUCUCAGUAUUCCUGCCUUUACUUGUUGGAGAAGUUGGCAACGUUCUGUGUUGUUGUUUAGUUUCUAAUACAAUACGUUAAACUUGUUUUGCUUCCAAUAUUUUGCUUUGGAAGUAAUUAGAUUUUUCUUUUUAAUGUUCAUUUUGUCUCUUUUCCUAUUACUACUUAACAUGCAUAAUUCUUUGAGGGUAUUCUAAUCAGGUAUCCACUGUAGCUGGUCCUAGUGUUCCAAGGGAGAGUCAUGUGAAAAAGAAAUGGUGAUGUGGUUCCAAUUCUCUGUACAAAACAAGGUAAGGAGGAGAAAGGAUAGCAAUCUGCAUCUUAAAGAAAGACAGUAAGUCUUUCCAGGAUUUUUCAGAUGAAUAUAUAGAAAUGAAAGUUUGAAUUCUUCACACUUUUUGAUAUCACUUUAUUCACUGUUUCACAUCCAAGAAUUUUGUCUCUUAACUUAAUAUUUGGUAAGAAAAAUGUUUCACCUUAAAUAUGGCAGAAUAGUACUAUUUUGUCAAAUACAGAUGUGCCAGGAGCCUUCCCUGAAAGCGCGUUUUUGUAGCGUCUGAUCUGUAGUCUACACCCAGAUAGUGGGAAGAGGCUGUGUCUGUCUUCUGUCCUCGAAUGUCAUGACUUUGUCUCCUUUAUGAAUUGUGCUGUCUUGUUCCUUAAUUGUUAAGAGUUGACUUCCAUUUGAUUAACCGUAGCAGGUCCUUAUUAGUUUUGACAAACCAACAGAACAUGUGGAAGAAAAGUCAUAAAAGUGAAUAAAAUAAAGAAUUCUUCCAUUUUGUAGUAUGAAACUGAUUUUCAGUUUCUGUGUGAAGUAUUUUUCUAGUUAAAAGUCCUAAAUCAAAGAGCACCAUUUAUUGGUUUGUAACAUAUGCUUGUGCUUGGCAAAAGUAAUGGAAGAAAGCAUGUCAAACAGCAAUGCUUAGAGUAUUAAAGUUUUAACAGAACGUCAGAGAAAACUAGAAACUGGUUAAUCCACAGAAAUCUGUCAUAAAGAUUGCAUUGUAAGGUUGUUUCAGCAUGAAUUCUGGUGACAUAUGGGAGCUUAAAAUAUAAUCUAAUGAUAUAUCUAUAUCGGUGAGAUGUUUAUAUAACAUGAUUGCAACAGAGAUGUCUUUUCUUGUUAAUUUAUUAGGAUGAUGAAAGUUACAGUGUUUUUAGAACAAUGCAAGGAACAAGUUUUGCUCAAGAACAGUUUUGUCGCUGGAAUGAAAAUAUUUUUUUCUUCUUAUACAUGUUUAAGAAAAGAAAAAUUAUGCAUCCAGUGUAGAGUGUGCUGAAGAUAGGCAGCGUGCUGUACAGAGAUGUGUGGUGGUGCUGUCUUCUGCUGUUGUGAAUUGCUGUUCUGAGCAUCAGUGUAUGUAGCAAAGCAAUACAAUAGGAAAACGGCACAAACUGACUUCCCGAAGUGGAAGACAAAACUUAGUUCAGAAGAAGUUGUGAGGGAAAUGAUCUCAUGCCGGCGGAAUCAAUUAAAGAACUUCUCUAGUGAAACUGGAGUUCUGAAAAUCUGUUUAUAAUCCUCAAUUGAGGAAAAAUCCUCAAUUAUUUUGAUGUGCAGCUUAUAAACUGUGUUUUUGGCUACUGUGCUGCUUGGUUUGUAGAAAUGUUAAUUAUAGGAAAAAGAGUGGCAGUGGGUUUUAGCUAUUGAUAUUGCUCUUAAGUAGAAGGUUGGAUUUUUUAUUGAUUUGUUUGUUUUUAAUUCAGUUGUCAUCUUUCUGAAGAUUAUUUGCAAGAUAACAAGCUGUAAUAUAGCACUGAUGUCCCAUAAAAAUGUGCCUGAUUUAGUUAAAAUUUCACAGGUGAGCAUGUUCGAGUUAUUUCUGAUAUAUUUUAUGUCAGUUGUCACUGUUACACUGAUUAAUCAAAUACCGGGAUGGGAGCUCAGAAAUAUUUUUAUUGUCUUUUCAUGGUUUUUUUUUCAGAAGGUAAUCCUGUGUUAAGUAUUGCGACUGAGGUUACAGCCUCCAAUGCUUGCUCGUGUCAGUGAGGAGGCAUUUCCCUGCAGGUGCCCCAGGUGCCCAGCUGGGAGGCAUACCAGGGGGUGGCACGGCAUGUCUUGCUGCUUCCCGGGGAGGUGUGACAGCCACAUCACUGCAGUGUGCUCUCCAGAACACCCAGGAAGCAUUGGUGCA